UGGGUAACCUGCCUCAAAGAGGGGAAUAGCCUCCCGAAAGGGAGAUUAAUACCGCAUAAUAUGUUUAGGUCGCAUGACUUUAACAUCAAAGGAUUUUCUUUUAGAAAUUCCACUUUGAGAUGGACCCGCGGCGCAUUAGCUAGUUCGUGAGGUAACGGCUCACCAAGGCAACGAUGCGUAGCCGACCUGAGAGGGUGAUCGGCCACAUUGGAACUGAGACACGGUCCAGACUCCGUAGGGACGG
rnacentral:rRNA from 1 species